ACUCAACGUUAAUUCUUUAAAAAGGGUGAGUUUAAGUUGUAAAAGCAUGCUGCCUUGAGCAGAUCCUUGAUCAGCUUGUUAGCCCUAAACUUGUUUUUAAGGAGUUU
rnacentral:sRNA from 2 species